GUGGGGAAUCUUAGACAAUGGGGGAAACCCUGAUCUAGCCAUGCCGCGUGAGCGAUGAAGGCCUUAGGGUUGUAAAGCUCUUUCAGCUGGGAAGAUAAUGACGGUACCAGCAGAAGAAGCCCCGGCUAACUCCGUGCCAGCAGCCGCGGUAAUACGGAGGGGGCUAGCGUUGUUCGGAAUUACUGGGCGUAAAGCGCGCGUAGGCGGACCAGAAAGUUGGAGGUGAAAUCCCAGGGCUCAACCUUGGAACUGCCUUCAAAACUCCUGGUCUGGAGUUCGAGAGAGGUGGGUGGAAUUCCGAGUGUAGAGGUGAAAUUCGUAGAUAUUCGGAGGAACACCAGUGGCGAAGGCGGCUCACUGGCUCGAUACUGACGCUGAGGUGCGAAAGCGUGGGGAGCAAACAGGAUUAGAAACCCCUGUAGUCC
rnacentral:rRNA from 1 species